UUAGCGAUGCGGGGGGACUCUUCGGAGUUGAGAAGGUAAAACCUGACCCUUGGAACCUGGCAGUUAACACUGGCGUAGGGAAGCAGAUGGAUCCAUUCA
rnacentral:ncRNA from 1 species